GGCCGUGUGGCGAAAUGGCAUCGCGUCUGACUACGACUCAUUGCGAAUCAGGAGAUUGCAGGUUCGACCCCUGUCUCGGUCA
rnacentral:tRNA from 1 species